rnacentral:lncRNA from 1 species
AGUUAGUUACUGUGGUCGGCUAAUGUGUUCUAUGCACUUAGCUGCUGUUUGUUUGUUGUUGUCUUAGAUCCAGAUGAUGACAGUGAGGAAGAUUAUAAAACUUUUAGCAGGACACUGGAACGGACACACAGGAUGCCAGUAGGAACAGAAGAGAGUAAGGUGAGCAGAUAGAGCCCCCUGUGUACUUGUUAUAAAUGCAAGCCUUCAAUCUGACAAACAUAUUAUCCUGUUGUGUGUGUGGGUGUGUGCGCACGUGUGUGUGGAAAGGAUGGAAGCUCAGCAGCAAACUAUAGCAAGUGUUUAGUAGAACAAUGUAGCAAGUUCCUCACUCCAAGACCUGAUACAGAGAGUUUCUGCCCAGAAGCUAAUCUGCAUGUGACAAUGGAGGUGUGCCAGUCCAGCUCAGAAACAAAGGCACAAGGUAACCAGAUGCUACAGGAGGCAGUGCGGGAGCGGAACCUCCCUCCAUUGAUCAGUAAACCAGACCUGGUUGAAGAACUUUCAGACAUUUCCAGCAUCAUCGGCUCCCCGUUGCAGAAGACAAGCUGUUCCAUACAGAAGCCCAGUGUUAGUACACCAUUCAUCCCCCACAGCCCAAGUAGGAGGUGCUUUUUCCAAGAAUCAGGUAUCCCUUCUCUUCAGAGCCAACUGGAGACCACUCCGUGGUGCAGCCUUUCCCCAUUUCCUCAGAGCACAGUUACAUCAAGUGACAUCACAGUUGGUCUGAACCCAUCUGUAUUCAACCCUCUGCAGAACUCUGAUCAACAUAGAGACGAAUUUGAAUUCUACACAGCGAAUUCAGAUGAGAAACAGAUUGUACUGGCAGGAGAGGUGGAUCCAAAUAAACAUGUGUCAGACCACAACAACCUGUCUAGCUAUGAAGAGGAGGCCACAAGAAGUGACCGGCCUUCAGAUGAGGACUACAUUUCAGCUACAGACAGUCCAAAGAACACGCCAGGUCUUGAGUCAGAGCAAUUGGAUUCUGCUACAUCACACUACACAGAUCCAGCAA